rnacentral:rRNA from 1 species
UACGGAGGGUGCGAGCGUUGUCCGGAAUUACUGGGCGUAAAGGGCGCGUAGGCGGCCCGCUAAGUCGAACGUGAAAUCCCCGGGCUCAACCCGGGAACUGCGUCCGAUACUGGUGGGCUUGAAUCCGGGAGAGGGAUGCGGAAUUCCAGGUGUAGCGGUGAAAUGCGUAGAUAUCUGGAGGAACACCGGUGGCGAAGGCGGCAUCCUGGACCGGUAUUGACGCUGAGGCGCGAAAGCCAGGGGAGCAAACGGG